rnacentral:ncRNA from 2 species
GCAGGAGAGGUUCAUAGCCCAAACCCUCUAUAAAAAACUAUGGAUGA